rnacentral:rRNA from 1 species
CCUACGGGCGGCAGCAGUGAGGAAUAUUGGUCAAUGGGCGAGAGCCUGAACCAGCCAAGUCGCGUGAAGGAUGACGGCCCUACGGGUUGUAAACUUCUUUUGUCAGGGAGCAAUUGGGUCCACGCGUGGGCUUCGCGAGAGUACCUGAAGAAAAAGCAUCGGCUACCUCCGUGCCAGCAGCCGCGGUAAUCCGGAGGAUGCGAGCGUUAUCCGGAUUUAUUGGGUUUAAAGGGUGCGUAGGCGGAAUAUCAAGUCAGCGGUAAAAAUUCGGGGCUCAACCCCGUCGUGCCGUUGAAACUGAUGUUCUUGAGUGGGCGAGAAGUAUGCGGAAUGCGUGGUGUAGCGGUGAAAUGCAUAGAUAUCACGCAGAACUCCGAUUGCGAAGGCAGCAUACCGGCGCCCAACUGACGCUGAAGCACGAAAGCGUGGGGAUCGAACAGGAUUAGAUACCCGGGUAGUC